AUUGAACGCUGGCGGCAGGCUUAACACAUGCAAGUCGAGCGAGCGGCGGACGGGUGAGUAAUGUCUGGUAAACUGCCUGAUGGAGGGGGUUAACUACUGGAAACGGUAGCUAAUACCGCAUACCAUCAGAUGUGCCCAGAUGGGAUUAGCUAGUAGGUGGGGUAAUGGCUCAACUAAGCGACGAUCCCUAACUGGUCUGAGAGGAUGACCAGCCAAGCUGGAACUGAGACACGGUCCAGACCCCUACGAGAGGCAGAAGUGGGGAAGAUUGCACAAUGGGCGCAAGCCGUAUGCAGCCAUGCCGCGUGUGUUAAGAAGGCAUUCGGGUUGUAAAGCACUUUCAGCGAGGAGGCGUUACUCGCAGAAGAAGCACCGGCUAACUACGUGCCAGCAGCCGCGGUAAUAC
rnacentral:rRNA from 1 species